GACGAACGCUGGCGGCGUGCUUAACACAUGCAAGUCGAACGGAAAGGCCCUGCUUUUGUGGGGUGCUCGAGUGGCGAACGGGUGAGUAACACGUGAGUAACCUGCCCUUGACUUUGGGAUAACUUCAGGAAACUGGGGCUAAUACCGGAUAGGAGCUCCUGCUGCAUGGUGGGGGUUGGAAAGUUUCGGCGGUUGGGGAUGGACUCGCGGCUUAUCAGCUUGUUGGUGGGGUAGUGGCUUACCAAGGCUUUGACGGGUAGCCGGCCUGGGAGGGUGACCGGCAAAAUUGGGACGGAGAUACGGCCCAGACUCCAACGGGAGGCAGCAGUGGGGAAUAUUGCAGAAUGGGCGGAAGCCUGAUGCAGCAACGCCGCGUGCGGGAUGACGGCCUUCGGGUUGUAAACCGCUUUCGCCUGUGACGAAGCGUGAGUGACGGUAAUGGGUAAAGAAGCACCGGCUAACUACGUG
rnacentral:rRNA from 1 species